AAGGCAAAGAGCUACUUACAAUCGUGGAUUCAUUUUAAAAAUAGUGUCAUUAUCUAAAUGAUCCUUUUAGUUUAGCCACCAUAUAUAUGGAUCACAAGAACCUCAAGUACUUCAUGUUGGCAUGUGAUUUGAAUUGCUGCCAAGCAUAUUGGAGCAUAUUUUUAUGAAGAUUUGAUUUUAAGAUCACUUAAUGAUCCAAAAAAUAAUAAGGUUUAUCAAAUAUUGUUUCAAAAAAUUCUUAUCUUAUAUCCAAAGAAUCAAAUGCAUCAAAAUAAGUAUUUAUUGUAGCUUUAGUUAGAACGUCUAAUAAAUAUUCUUCUUCAUUGUUAUCUUCUAUUAUAUUAGUAAAAGUUUCUUUUUUUUUUUAAUUAAAAAAUCAUUUAUUUUAUUUUAUUUUUUAGAUUUAUUGCAUAAUACUUUCAAAAAUAAUAUUUAAAUUUUUCAUAUUUGUAGCAAGUGAUAUAUAUUUUUUUAAUCACUAUUUCAAAGAUGUGUCUUACUAUUGAAUUUACACCUUUCUGUUGUAAAAAUAUAAAAUAAAUAAAUAAAUAAAUUUCUAUUUUUUUUAAUGGAUUUUUCUAUUCAAACAAUAAAUCUAUAGUAGACUCUUAAAAGCAUAGUUUUGAUAUCAUGUUGGUAUAAAAAAGUAUUUACUUUAGCAUAUAUUAAUGAUAUAAUAUUCUAUAUAAUAUCAAUGAUUAUUAAUAUAGAUUUUUUUAAAGACAAAUAUAUAAUAACUUCAUCUAAUAAAGAGGAAUAAAACUCUAAUUACCUCAAUCUAAGGAAUAAGUGGAUACACAUGAUUUUAAUCCCAAUUCUAAAGAAUGAAUAAGUAGAGGAUGACAAUAUACUAAUAGAUGUAUAGGCAAAUAAAAAUCACAUCAAAAAAUAAGAGACCACAAAAAGAAUCUAUAUGAAAAAUGAAACAAAUCAAUUUUAUUAUUUGUCAUCAUAAAUUGCCUCUCAAUUGCUUAUUAAUUUAAUAUAUUGCUACUAGUCUCAAUAUGGAAUUGUUAUUAUAAGCUCAAGGAAUUCCAGAUAGGAUGAAGCAUUGGUCACAAAUAAAAAAAUAAAAAUAUUAUAUAUACUCUCAAACAUAUUGAAAUAUCAAAAAUAUCCAUGUAUUUUUGGUAAUAGCAAAUAUAUCCCCUACUUUUGUGAUGAUAUCAAAUCUAUCCUUGAAUGUAAUAAGUUAUAAUAAUUAUUUAUUUUUUAGAUGCAAUUGAGGCCUAAACCAUAUAUUGCAUUGUCAUAAUAAAGAGAGUUUUGCUUCAAGAAAGCAUUGAGCUUCUAGCAGGCACUAAUUACUCAAACAAGUUGUAAGUUUAUAAAAUACAAAUCUUAUUUGUAGCUUGUCUUCAUGAAGAUAAUUAUAUCAAAUGUACAAGUCUUGGAUGCACAAGAGUCUCCAAGAUGUGAUUAGAUAUCCUAAAACUACUUCUAUUCUUAUAGAGAUUCCUUCCAAAUUUGUAUUAUCCAAUAACUUCCAAUCUAAUCAUUCAAUUGAAUUAAAAAAAAUUUACAACUUAACUUAUAUCUUUAACUACUUCUACAAAAAUAAUCAACUAUAGAUUCAUUACAGAUCUUUAGUUAUUACCUAAUUUCUAGUAGAAGCUAAACAUAUUAAUUUUUAGAUAUUUACACACUAAAUCUACUAUUUUUCAAAAAUCUAAUACUUAAAUAAUAUGAUAUUUUAUAUAUAGAUUUUUAACAUACUUAUCUAUAUUUUUAGAAAUUUUGAGCCAAAAAUUCAUCUAAAAAUUCAAGAUGUGGUUCAAACUAAAACCUUUAUUAAAAGAAUUUACUUAAAAAUUUUAAUUUUGAAGCUUUGACUUCAAAUAGAUCUAUUUUCUUUGUUCCAAAUCGGAAUUUAUCAAUAUCUUUGUAUAAAAUAUAAUUCUUUAAGUCAACUUUUGAACGUCACUUUUAAAUCUCCAAAAGAUCUCAAAUAACUCCUUUUAUUCAAAAAAGGUGGUAGUAGGUAUAAUUUUAAGAUCCUAACUUCAAGCAUCCAUUUCUCUGUCAAUAAAAAGUCCAAAUUUCUUAAUUUUUAUACAAAAAUUAUAGUCCUCAAUAUAAGCUAAUAAAUCCUAAUGUUUGAACUUAAAGUGGUGACCUUAAAGAGGCCUAAAAUUCCAAUAUGGUCUCCAAAAACAUCUUGAAGUCCAUUGGACAUGACCUUCAACCAAUGAGAAUGAAGUCCUCCAUUAAUUUGUCUUAUUCAUCCACAUAGAAUGGCCUAGAAGUCAAAAUAUUAUAUCCUUGAUAUCAAAGCCUCUCUAAAAUCUUUAUCAAUAAAUCCUAAAAUUUAUAUUUUUAAUUAAAAAACUUAAAUAAAUAAAAUAAAUAUUUUAUUUAUUUAUUUAUUUAAUUUUUAAUUUUUUUAAUUACAAUCCAAACUUUCAUAAUAUUUCAUAUUAUUUUUACAUAUUAUGCUACUUUCUACUAUAAUAGCACAAAAUUUAGCUACUCAUAUCAAAGUCAUCUAAUAUUAAAUCCAAUUCCAAGCCAAACAAUUGAGUGCUAAAGUUGUACAAACUAUUUGACAUUAGCCUCAUUGUUCUUGCUACAUGCAAUUAGUUUACUAUAAAAUGAAGAAAUUCUUUAAAAAAUGGAAUAAACUAAAGCCUAUUUAGCAUGAAAACUACUCAAUUGUAUGUAGCUUUAUCUAAAUAUAAUUUCAUUGCAUAAAAACUCUAACUCUCGCCAAUUUUCUAAGAAUGAUGCUCAAGAAGAGAUGUUAAACACGAAAUGUAUAGAGCAUGAUGUUAGUCUGACUUUUCUUAUUGUUAUUGAAGAUUAUGAGAGAUUCAGUCUUUACAUCAAAGUGGGUGCCUACAAAUCAAGCAUUUUGUAGUCAUGCUAAAUUAUCAUUAUUAUUUAAAAAGAUGUCAACACCGUACAAACAUUUGUAUAAGACAUCUACAUAGCUACUACCACCGCACCUUCUUCCUUCCUUCCUUCACUUUAAACUCUGUAAAGUAAUAUCAUAUUACGUGAAGUCUGCUUGAAAAUGUACUAAACACUUGACUUUAGAAGGAAAAAUAGAACUUAUAAUAAAAUGACUUUAACAAUUUUAAUAGAAUCUUAAACAAAAUUUAAUUAAAUUAUAAAAAUAUUAAUUAUUCUUUGAUUAAAUCCAAAAGAAAUUUCAAGAACUUACAAAAGAAACAUAAAGAAAUUAUAAAUUAAUCUUAAUAAAAUAUAUAAAAUUACAACAAUCUUAAAGAAAUAUCAAAAAUAGUAAUUUUAAUUAAAUCCUAAUCAAAUCUUAAUAAGACCCUCAAAAAAUAUUAAAAAAAUCUUAAUUCAAUCUCAAUCAAAAUUAAAUAAAAUUCAAAAUUUUAAAUAAUCUUAAUUAAAUUGUAAAUUUUUUUUAAUGAAAUCUUAAAUAAAACUUAAUCAAAUUCUAAAUAAAUCCUAAUCAAAUCCUUAGUAAAUCCUAAUCAAAUUCUAAAUCCUAAUCUUAGAUUAAAUUCCAAUGAAAUCUUAAAUUCUAUUCAAAUCUUAUUAAAUCCUAUCAAAUUCUUAAAAAAAAUCCUAAUAAAAUCUUAAUUCCUAAUCCUAGCCAAAUCUUAAUAAUGUCCUAGAUCUUAAAUAAUUCCAAGUAAAUUUCAAUUAAUUACUAUAAUUAUUUGAAUCCUUAAUAAAUAUUAAUUGAAAAAUAAGUCUUGACUAAAAUUUCACCUAAGUUUCAAUCAACAAGCAGUUAAUACGUACACAAAAUUUGAAAAGAAUCUAACUUAUUAAUUGAAAGGAAAGCUCCCAAAAUCUAUUAUUCAUUGAUUGUAUUCCUUUUUUGACUUGAAUAUUGAUCUUUUAAUACUAAUUUCUCCUUUUUAAAUUAUUUAAUUGCUUCAAAAAUCAAAUUUUGUAUUGAUAUUUUAGUUUGAAUUGCUCUCAAUAAAUUUUUCUUCAAUCCAAUUUACACAUAUUGCUAAAUCUCAAAUUUUUGGAACCAUAAUCCACAAUAGCCCUUAUUUUUUCAAUCAAACUACUUGAUUGACCUCAAAUUUUUCAUACACAUUUAUAAUAAGCACAACAAUAAAUUACUAAAAUUUUUAUUAUAUCCAUACUAUGAAACUUACAAACUUCUAAAAUUAAUAGACCUAUUUUUAUUUUUCAAAAUCUAAAUCCUCUAAGUACAUCAUUAAUUUUGAAAAUCCUUCAAAUUUUUAAUAUUAAUCCAAAUAAUAUAAAACUAAUACUCAAAAAUCUCUUUUUAAGUUUUCUUUCGAAUCUAAGUCUUUGAUUUGUAAAAAAAACCUUGGAAUCGCUCUAGGUACUUAUUUUGUGCCUUAAAAUUUGAUUUUGAUCCUAGUUAGCAACUGGUCCUCUUCAAAAAUUAAUUCUUAUUUUCUUGAGGUAAUUUUUGCUAAAAUCAAUUCCUAACUUCUUCUUAUAUAUGUCUAUAUUUUAUUUCUCUAAUCUACAUUUUUUUGCCUUAUUUAUGGUUUAACAAAGUAAAUAAAGUCUAUUUCCAUAAAAGAUAGUUCUAACACUAAUAGAUUUUAUUAUUUGCCUAUCAUUUAUUUAUAUUUUAUAUUAUAUAUUUUUAAUUAGGCUCUUCUAUAAUAAUAAUUUUUUUUUUCUUUUUUUACCUAAUAGCCGUGUUACUACACAAAAUCCAUCUUCCUUAAACUUGUGCAUCUUCUAAUAUAUACCAAUGAUUCUUUAAUUUGUUGAUGUAAGAUAUUUUUUAUCUUGGUCAAAUUCUUGAUCUUCAAUGUGUACUUCCAUUCCUAUUUCAAUUUUAUUUAAUAAAUUUUAUUCUUCACCAAAAUAUGUAUAUAUACCUCUUUGUGUAAAUAAUUUGACUCAUUUUUUGAUAAUAGGCAUCUUUAAUUAUACUUCAAUCUAACAAUUUGAUUGACAUCAAAAUUUGUAUAUACAUUUAAAACCAAUAUGUCAAUAUAUUUUCCAAAUUUCACCCACAUAUAUACCACGAAAUUCAAAAAAUCCUCAAAUUUAAAAACAUAUUUUUAUUUCUCAAAUCUUCAUCCUAUAAAGAAUAUUACUAACUUUGAAAAUUCCUCAAAAUCUCAAUAUUGAUUCAAAUGGCAUGAAAAAAAGCAUAAAAAUCUCUUUUCUUAUUUUCUUUCAAAUUCUACUCUUUGAUCUAUAAAAUAAUUUUGGAAUUUCCGUAUAGAUGUGGUUUUGUGCCUCAAGAUCUGAUUUCAAUCUUGGUUUACAACUGAUCCUCUUUGGAUAUCAAUUUUUUGUAAUUUGAGGUAAGUUUUACUUUAACCAAUGAUUAAUUCUUUCUUGAACAUAUCUACAUCAAUUUCUUAUCUCAUUUACUUUGAUUUGGCUUAUUUAUGCCUCUACAAAAUAAAUAGUAUUCCCUUCUAUAAAACAUAGCAUCAAAACUAAAUCUUUUAUUACCUUUUUAUUAUUUAACCUUAUUUUUUUAUUAUAUAUUUCUACUAGGCUCUUUUAUAAUAACAUCUAUAUUUUUAUUUUUCACUAUAUAAUCAUAUUACUACACAACAACAUUUUAUUAAAUCUUUUUUUAUUUUUUUGUCUUGCUUCUUUCAACCUUUUGGCUGUUACUUCAAUAUCCUCAAAUCUUUUUUUUAAUUUUUGAAUCCAUAAUACUAAAAACUCAUCUCUAUUAAGAUCAUUUCUUUAAAGCUAUAUUUUUCAUAUAUGCAUUGUUUCUUCUACUGGCAUAAUUGAUUUUUGUUUGUAUAUUAACUCAAAAAGUAUAUUACCAAUCAUCAUACUAUGAGUGGUGUGGUCUAUCUAUAAUGCAAAUAGUAGUAGCUUAGGCCAUUGAUAUAUUUUUCUAUUACAUAUUUUUACUAAUGCUUUAAAAAUAUGUGAAUGUUCUUGCUCAUUCUUCCUAUUCUCUUUUAGAUUAUAUGUUAUUUUUAAAAAAGAUAUAAUUUCCAUUCUACUAAAGAAUUCUCUUAUUUAUUUUACAUCCAAUUUUCCUCUAUCUACAAUGUUUUUUCCAAUACAACCAUAGAAAAAAAUAAUGUCUUCUAGAAAAAAUCAACAUACACUUUUAGUACUUUUUAUUCUUAAUAGUCAUCUUUCAACCAUAUUUGAUAAAUCUUCUUAUGCAAGUAUUAAAUAUUUCAUUUGUCCAAGUCCUAUAGAAAUUUCUAUUAAAUCUACUAUCAACUUAUAAUAUAGUACUAAAAGAUAACUUUGAUGUAAUCUAUUCCAAUAUCAAAAGUGAGAAUAAACUUGACAAACUUCAUAUGAUUCUAAAAAAUUUGCCAUGUCUUUGAAUAUGUCCUUCCAUCAGUAUUUUUUCUUCAAUUUUUUUAAAAAAAAUCAAAUUCUUCUAUAUCCUACCUAUAAACUUUCAUGAAAUUCUUUAAUAAUCUUUUGUUGAGCUUUUAAACCACAUAUCAUCUAUUGUGGCAUUUUAUUUUCUCUUCUUUGGAUGUUUCCAUAAAUAUCCAUCAUAUAAGAAAUGUCCAUAAGCUUUCUUUUGGAUUUUUUUUUAAAAAAAAUCUAUUCAACUUUCUUAUUGCUUUAAUAUGUUUAAAUACUUUCUAACAUCUUUUUAUUUACCUUUAUAUAAAUCUUUCAAAAAUAUUUCUAAUAAUAUAUUCAAAUAUACAUCUUUUCUUUUUAAUAAUGUAUUAAUGUGAAAUUUUAUAUCCAUGUUAUUUUCUAAAUCAAUCAUAUUUUUUUCAUUAUAAUAUCUUACUAUUAAUAAUAUAUCUGUGAUUAAUUUUUUUUCCUAUAGUGUGCUUAAAUUUUAGAUUCAUAAGUUUGAUAUUAUGCUAUCCACCUUAAUACAGCAAUAUCAAGAGUUGAACAACUUAUAAUGAUGUUCAAUAAAGGUAGACAAUCUAUUUCUAUAAUUAUUGAUACAUCAAUGAAGUAUUCUUUUUUAUUUUUCAUAGCUAUUAUUACAUUCCAUAACUUUCUUUGAUUUGUGUAUAUGCCUUUUGUCUAUCAUUCAAAACUUUACUCCAAAUCUUAUUAUGUAUCUAUUUCUUUGUUUAUCAUCUUAUCCAACUACCUAACUUAUUCUAAUUGGAUUUACAUCAACUACUAAUAUCAUUGGCCUUUCACAUUCAUAAUUUACUUUCUUAAAAGUUGGAGGUAAAGAAAGAAGUCUUUCAAUUUUUUCAUAGUUUUUUUUUUCUUCAUUCUAUUGAAAUUUUUUAUUCUUUUUUAAUAAUUCAUAUAAUAAAUUUUCUACAUGUGCAAAAAGAAAUACCCAUAUAUGAUAGAAAAUUCAUGCUUCUAAAAACCUUCUAACUUCCAUUAUAUUUGUAUAUUUUUUUAUCUUUUUAAUAAUAUUAAUAUUUUUUAUAUUUAACUUGCAUCCAUAUAAUCUAUACAUAUAUCUUACGACCAAAACUUCUUUUACUCCAAAUAUUGAUUUUGCCUCCAAUAAGAUUAAAUGAAUUUCUUCUAAUCUUGCCAAAAUCUUCUAUCAUCAAUAUGAUUUGCCACAAACUUCCUACAUUCUUUUGAAUCUAAUGUCUUAUCUUUUUUUUCUUCUUCACAUUCUUUAAUUGGCACAUCAUUUAAAAAAGAUAUUAUUAUUUUUAAAAUAUAAUCUUUUAAUAUCUUAUGUAUUUAAUUCAUUAUGCAUGCAAUAGAAUUUAUAGCCCCUUAUAGUAAUAUAUACAUUUUGACCAAUUCUAAUGAUGUCUUUAUAGUUUUCAAAUUUCUACUUUGUAUUACCAAUUAAAAUUGAUCAUAUCUUGAAUGAAGUUCUUCCAUAGAAUAAAUUCCUUUCCUUAUAAAUACCUUUGUAAAUUCAUCUACAAUUGAGCUUAAAUUCAUAUAAUUAAUUGUUAUUUUAUUUAUCAAUUAUAUAUCUUAAAUAAAUUUCAAUGCCUUAUUUUUCUUAAAUAUUAUAAAUUACUAAUUGAAAUAAAGUGUAAUAGAUGGUUGUAAAAUUUUCAUCCUAAUCUUUUUAUUAAGUAAUUCAAUUAGAUUUGGCAAAUAGGCCUUUGAAAUUAGAAUUGGCUUCAAAUUCUAUAAUUCAUAUGGAAUUGUGAAAAUAACCAUAGAUACUAUAAUAUUUAGAUUGAUGCACUUUAUUUCAUGUAAUUCAAAUACAAAUGCCUUAUCAUGUCAUAAAAGCAUUUUUUUAAACAUCUCUCUUCAUUUCUUAUCAAAAAAUUCUCACAUCCAACUUUCAAACUAUCUAAUAUCAGUUCAUCCUUGAAUUCAAUAUCUUUUUUUCUUUGAAUCUCUUAAAUUGGGUUGCAUAGAAGCCUCAACUAUUUCCUCAAAAUUCAAUGGUAGUAGCAAUGCUACUAAUUUGAUCUUCUUUGCAAUGAUCUUAUAUUUUGUAUUUACCUUUAUUUUAUACUUAUCCAUAUUUUCUUUCAUUCCAUCAUAAAAUUGCUUAAAAUAUAAAUUUAUUAUCUUAUCACUACUUUCAAAAACUAAAUCCAAUAACAUUUAUAAAUUAUCCAUAGUAUCACCAAAAAAAGUUUUUUCAAAUAUCCUUGAUAUGUAUUUAUCUUUUUCAAUCAUUCUACAUUUCUUCAAUUCAUGCUUCAUAUUUUUGACAUUUUUUAUUCUUAUUUUUCUAAAACUAUUUAUAUAUAUCUAUCUCUUCAUAAUCCUAUAAUAGCCUCAUUUCUUGUACUAAGCAAGAAUCCAUCAUCCCUUCUACUAUUGUAAUACCGCUUUACAAUGGUUUUUAGUAAACAUCCUUUAAGUCAUCAAGAUCUUCAAAUUCUUUCAAUAUCCUUGACAAAAGAUUCUCCCUCAAAUUAUCACAAUUUCUUUCAUGAUUUAUACAAAUUGUUAAAAAUUUCAAAACUUUCUUUCUAUCUUGACUUCUUAUCCUUGUAUAAGCCAAACCAUCAUCCAUAAUCUUUGUUUUUAUUUGUAUGGCAUUACUAUAUAAUUAUUUCAAUAUAAAAAGAUAUGUGGACAUAUCUUAUACAAAGAAAUUUUAUUCAUAACUAACAUCUCAUAUUGUCACUUUAAGAUUUGGACAAGCUUCAUAUAAAUCUCCCUUUGAAUUAUUUGUCAAUCUUAUCAUCUAUCCAUGUUCAAUAUUAAUAGGUCAAUUUUUUAUUUUGUAUAAUUUUUUGAUAACAAAUUGAUUUCAAAAUCAAGAUCAAUUAAUAUUAUAUUUGAUUCUUUUAACUCUUUCAAUUUUAUUAAUAAAUUUGAAGUAGCCCUUGCCUAUUGAUUUCAAGAAUAAUAACUAGAAGCUGGAAUCACAUCUUCUUCUUUUGUAAAUCAAAUUCACAAAACAUCUCCAAACUUUUGUAUCUCAUCCUUUUUAUCUACACUACUUCUUAUUGCUUUUGCUCCUUAUAUAUUUGAUGUUAUAGUAUCUCCUAUAGAUUGCUUUUUUUUUCUUUAUUAGUUUAAUAAUGAUUUCAUGAAAUUCAUGCUUUGUAAUUUUUAGAAUUUUAUUAAUUAUAAUUUUAACCUUUUCUCCUAAAACAUUUUCUUCUAAUAUCUUCUUCAAAUUUGUAGUAGCUUCAAAAUUUGAUUGUAAUUUAUAAGCAAGAGCCUUUGUUUUAUUUUGUUUUGUUUUUUUUUUUUUUUUUUUUUUUUUUUUUUUUGACAAUUUUUUGUUUAUUAGAAAAAAAAUUCCCUUUUUCUUCUUUAUUCAAAAAAUUCCUUUCUUAUCAUGAUUUUUUUUCCCCUUAUAAUUCUUUUUGAUGGCCCUUCAUUAUUUUCAUCUCUCCUUUAUUUUUCUUCUAUUAAUGCUUCAUAUUGACUCUUUGUAAUAUGAACAUGAAUCAAUAAUCCGUCUAUUGGAUUAUUUCACUUAAUAAUUUUUUAAAUUUUAUUACCAAUAUAUUUUUUAAUUAUCUCUAGUAAUUAUUUUUUUUUAGCAUAACUCAUAACACUUGAUUAAAAAGAAUUAAAUUAUCUUAGAAAGUCAAGUUUUAUGAUUAAACAUUUGCUAGGAUUUUCUUCCACUUAAUAUAUUGAUACUUCAUUGCUUGAGAUUUUAAAUGCUUCUUUUAUAAGCAUCUUCAUUCUUCUAUUAUCAAAAUUUGUCUCUAAUUUUUUUCCACUCUUUUAAGUAUAUCAUACUAUCUUUGAAAAAAAGUAAUACCUUUGCCCAAUGCCUCUAUAAAAUCUUUGCAUUCCCUUGAAUGAUCUAUGCUAUUACACCACAUGCACCUAUGUAUUAUAUCUUCCAUUGGUCCCGAUUUUUGUCUUGUUGAUAUUCUUAAUGUUUGAUUCUUCUCCUAAAGUUUUGCAAAUUUUAUUUGCAAAUCUCUCAUCCCUCAUAUGAUUUCACCAAAGUCCAUUUUUUCUUUCUUUGAUGUAACCAUUAAAGUUUGAAUUAUAGACAUAGGAUGGUUAAUAGGCAUUUUUACUUUAGAUGUUUGCAAUGGUCUUUGAAUACCCACUCUAUCCUUUGUUCUUUUUUUCUUUGCAAGCAACCUUAUUGCUUCUUCUACUUCCUUCCAACUCUCUCAAUAAUUAUAUUACUUGAAGAUCCUUCUUAAGUCUUCUAAUCCACUUUAAAAAUGAUUUUUUUUUAAUUCAAUUACUAUAUUUUAAGAAAAAUACAUCCUUCAAUGCUUAAAAUAAAUUCUCUCAUAAACUUCCAGAAUAUCCUAUAAUGAAUUUUUUCGGAUUUUUUAUCUUUAAUGAAAAGGCUAAUUGAAAUAAUUGAAUUAUGUCCUUUUCAAAAAUGUGCUUCAAUUCUAUUGUUUUCAUAUAAUAUCUUAAAUACUUUAUAAUAUUCUUUUUUUUAAAAUGAUUGAUCUUGAUCACAACCACUUGUAAUAUUUUAAUUUUCUAUAUCCUCUUUAUAAUCUUUAACUUAUUGUUAUUGCAUGUAUAGAGUAAAAACCUCAAAUAUUUUUAUAGAAUUGAAUCAAAAUAUAUAUCUUAUCCUCUUCUUGUUCUCUACUUCCAACUCUACUUGAAGCACCAAUUGAAGUAUCAUCCAAAGCCUUUUCUUCCAUUCUCUUGCCUUCCUAUUUUAUAAUUCAAAUAAACCAAAAAAAAAUAAAUACCUUCUAUUUUAAGAAUUUUAUGUCAGAUUUAUUAAAUUAUGUUAUAAUAUGUGAAGUUGUUUGAGAAUGUAUUAGAUACUUGAUUGUGAAAGGAAAAAUUAAACUUAUAACAAGAUGACCCUAACAACUCUAAUAGUAUCCUGAAAAAAAUUUAAUUAAAUUAAAACAAUAUUAAUUAAUCUUUAAUUAAAUCCAAAAGAAGUUUUAAGAACUUACAAAAGAAACAUAUAGAAAUCAUAAAUUCAUCUCAAUAAAAUAUAUAUAUAUAUAUAUAUAUAUAUAGUAAAAAAAUCCUAAAAAAUAUUUAAAAUAAUAAUCUUAAUAGAAUCUUGAUAAAUUCUUAAUACAACUUUCAACAAAUUCUAAUAAAAUUUUAAAUAAAUUUCUAUCAAAUAUUUAAAAAAUCCUAAAUCUUAAAUCCUAAAAUCUUCAUAUUUAUUGAGGUUUCAAAUAGUUAUAGUAAUUGAUUGAAAUUUAUUUGAGAUUAUUUAGGAUUUAAGAUUUUAUUAAAGUUAGGCUAGGAUUAGGAUUUAGGAUUUUUUUAUAAUUUGAUUAAGGUUUGUUUAAAAUUUGAUAGGAUUUGAUUGGAAUUUGAGAUUUCAUUAGAAUUUGAUGUAAAGUUAAGUUUUAAGAUUUUUUUAGAAUUUUUUUAGGAUUUGAUUAAAAAAUUUUAGAAUUUGAUUAAGAUUUGCUAGAUCUCAUAAUUACUUAUUGACCCUAAGUCUAAAAUUUUUGAGACCAUACCCUACAAAAACCCUCAUUAACUUCAAUCAAAUUGCUCAAUUGACCUCAAAUUUUUCAUAUACAUUUACAACAAGUACAACAAAAAAUUGCCAAAAUUUUUAUUUGUAUACAUAUACUAUGAAACUCAAAAAAUCCUAAAAUUAAUAAACCUAUUUUUAUUUCUCAAAAUCUAAACCCUCUAAAUACAUCAUUAACUUUAAAAAUCUCCCAAAUUUUCAGUAUUAAUCCAAAAAAAUAUAAAACUAAUAUUCAAAAAUAUCUUUUCAAAAUUGCUUUCAAAUCUAACUCUUUUAUUUAUAAAAAAACCUUGGAGUUUCCAUAAGUACUCAAUUUGUGCCUUGAAAUCUGAUUUUGAUUUAGGUUGGCAACUAGUCCUCUCCAAGUAUCAAUUCUUCUCUUGUUGAGGCAAUUUUUACUAAAAUAAAUCCCUACUUUCCUCUUAUAUAUGUCUAUAUACUUUAUAUUUCUAAUCUAUCUUAUUUUAUUAUAUUUAUAGCUAAAUAAAGUAAAUCAAAUCUAAUAUUAUAAAAAUUAGUUCUAAUACUAAUUGAUUUUAUUACUUACCUAUCAUUUAUUUAAAUUUUUUAUUAUAUAUUUUUUAUUAGGUUCUUUUAUAAAAAAAAUCCUUUCUUUUUAUACUUAAUUGUCAUAAUUACUAUACAACAGUAUAGAUCAUUUCAUCUUUUCUAUCAUUAUGAAUGUACACUAUCAAUAAGCUAAGAUAUUUAAGCUGAUUUUAUAAGAAAAUGCAAGACAAAAGAAUUCUUGAUCCUUAGUAGUUGAUUUCACAUUGUAGAAUGGCAUUAUUAUGUUGUAACAUAAUUAUAUGGUAAAAAUAUAAUCAAAAAUAAAUUUUUAAUUUAAUCAUCUUAUUUCAAUAGUAAUUCAAGACAUUAAAACAUGGCUUUUAUAAAUGCAUGUUAGUUUAUUUUCUUGUCUUAAUAGCUAGUAGUUGAAAGGUUGAUUAGUAAUUUUACCUUUUACUAUGUAAAAUUUCUUUUAAUGCCUUAAAAAGGCCAUAAAUUAAUAAAAAUAAGAUAGAAGAGGUACAUAAUUAGUAUGGUUGAUAAUAGGAUUAAGUUGAGGAUAGAGUCGGACUAAAAAACCCUAGAGAUAGGUUGGAUUGAUACAUAAGGGUCAACUAUUUGUGAGAUAGGAUCAAAGUGAAAUCUUUAGCUACUAAAAUUACUACCUAGGACAUAGUAAAGAGGUAUUUAAAAUUAAAAAAUUAGAGUUCAUGACCUAACUUCAAGCUUAUUUUAAAAGUAUAAGGCUUAUUUUCAUAGAUUUUCGAAUGACUUUAUAAUUGCUGUUCAAAGUCAAGGUUUGUAUGAGUGACUUGGAAUUUAUACAAUACAAUUAGAGCUAGCACUCUUGAUUCGUUUGUCCAAUUGGUAUCACAUCUAUAGCUCAAAACUUGAUAUUAUUUAGUUGAUUGAAUAUGCUAUGCAUGUGUAAAGUUUUGUAUUAAUCUAAUCUAAUAAUAAAAUUGAGAGAUAUCUAGGUUUUGGUACAACAGGAUAUCAAAAGUUGGCAAUUUGAUAUUAGAUAGGAUUUCUAUGAUAUUUGAAGAUUCUUUUAUUAGAUUAAGGUGAAAUUUGGCAUAGUAAUAGAAGACUUUAAGGUCAAGCUAUAUACUAAUUUUGAAUUGAAAUUAAUAGUUGAAGAAAGAAAAAUCUCUAUUGGAACAUUUGCAUCAACUUUCAAGUUAAUAGUCAAGUAACAUUAGUACAGUUUUUGGACUUUUUCUCACAAUUUUUAAGUUAGAUUGGACUAAAUUUUUCUAAGCAUAUAGAAGACUUAUAGUGGUAGUUGGAUGCAAAAUUUUUCACUAAUUGGAUAAUCAAAUUAGGAGUUACAACUUACCAAAGCUCAUUGACUAGGAUUAAGGCUUAUAAAGAGAAAUUAAAAUUGCAUAAUUAUAAAAGUAAUAAGGCAAUUGGAACUUACAUAUAAUUGAGGUCAUUAAGAAGAUUAUAUUUGAGCAUUUUUUAUUGGCUUUAAGCACUUUUGAAUUAAAAGUCAAAUUGUAUUCUUCUUAUAUAGUUCAAACCUAUUAUGGUUUCUUCAAUAUUUACAAAACACAACUUCACCUUCCAUAGGCAGGUACUUGGUGCAUUUCCAAACAAGACAACCCAUAUUAUGACAACAUAAUUAAUGAUCCAAAAAUAUAUUGGAUAUCUAGUUGUAGAAAAUUUAGCUUUGAUUUAUUAACCAAGCUCUAAUAAGUGAUAUAUUCUUAUUAUAGAAAAUAAAUAAAUAUAAAAAUAUUAAAAGAUAUUCUAUUGAUAAAACCUUUUAUAUUUAAUAAGAUUUAUACAAAAGGCUUUGUAGAGUAUGAAAAAAUUCUCUAACAUACUUAUAUCAUAAUUUUAUUAGAGCUUCAUAUCUCCAUCUUUAAUAUAUGUAUAGAGUCUUAGCUCUCAAAAAUUCCUAUUUUUUGCAUAAAAUACUCAAAUUAUAUCAAAAUUCUUUUAAAAAAUAUUUUUUUCUUCAAAAUAUUAUUUCUUUCUAAAUUUUAGAAUUUCAUAUCUCUUGAUCUAAAUAUUUAUUUAUUUUUUAAAAUUUUUAGAUAAUAUAGCAUUUAUUCUAAAGUUUUAUUACAAAAAAAUUAAAUUAUAAAUUUAUUAUAGAUUAUAUGGCAUCUUAGAAACUCUAGCAUGUAUUCUAAAUCUCAAUUAAUAAGUAUUUCAAUACUAUUUUAUUAUAUCUUAAAAAUCCAAAAUUCAAAUAAUUUAAAAUUUAAUAUGCACCUUUGAAAUAUAAUAAUACAUAUUUAUAUGAACUUUUAGCCAAAGAUUCAUCCAACUGCUCAAGAUAUAACAAGAACCAAAUCCCUUAUGAAAUUGGUUCACCAGCAAACCUCAACUUCAAAUCUUUUGCUUUUUAUAUGCAAAACGUAGCUCUUUAAACUAACUUUCUAAUUGCACAAUCCAAUCUUCAAAAUUCCUUCAUAGACAUGCUCUAUGCUCUAAAAAAUGAUAGUAGGUAUGAAAUCAACACCUUGACUUUAAGAACCUAUAUCUCUUUCAUAAAAACUCCAAAUCAUAUAAAAUUUAUACCAAAAUUAUAUUCAAAAUCUUAAACUUGAUAAUUCCUAAUUUUUGAUGUUUGAAUGUCUUUGAAAGAAUAACCCUAAUUCCUAACAAGGCCUUGAGUAACCUCCUUGAAGCCUAUUGGACAUGACUUUUGGCUAAUAAGAAUAGAAAAUUUUAUCAUCUAUCUCUAUUCAUCUAUAUAGAUAGCCUAACUAUCCUUUUUUAUAUAAAAAUCCUUCUUUAAUUUUUUUCUUAGUAAAGUUUAUAUAAUAUGUGCUCUAACUACUAAAUAAAAGAAAUAAAAUAAGAUUUUAAGAAUCACCAAUAUUUAAUAAAGGUGGCUCUAAAUAUAUAAAAAAAACUAUUAUUAAUAUAAAAAUCAACCUUAAUAGUUGUAAUUUUAGACUAACUACUUCAAAGUAACAAUUUAAUCAUAUUUUAUAACUUAAAUCUAAUAACGUAGCCUUCACCACAUUGUAUAAUAAAUUAUACAUUAAUUAUAUGUAUGCAUUAUUUUCAGAUAGUAGCCAAACCACAAUACAACAAUAUAGUUUGCAACAUUAAAAAAUUGAGUAUUGUGGAACACACUAUGGUAUCGUAAUCAAGCCGUUGUCAUGAUGUAAUAUGGCUAACAAGUAAAAGGGUGAAGAAAAUAUCAUGUUUUGAGGAUCUCACUUCAAAAAUAUUGUAGCAAAUUAUCUUGGAAAAAUAGAUAUUAGUCAAAGGGUAGAAAAAUUAAAGAUGCUAAUACUACCUUUUUACAAAUUAUGCUUCUAUUUACUUUUUAAGGCCAUAAAUAAGACAAAACAAGGUAGAUUAGAAAAAUGAAGGAUAUAAGCAUAUGUAGGGAAGAGUUAGAAGUGCAAAUUAGUAAAAAUUACCUCAAGAAAACAAAAGUUGAUACCCGAAGAAGACCGGUUAUGAACCUGGGUCGAAAUCAGACCCCGAGGCACAAAACCAUGCUUUGACGGCGACUAAAGGGUUAUUUGGGAGAUCGAAGAGCAGAAUUAGAGAGAAGACUUGUGGAAGGAUUUUUAAGAGGUGAUUUCGUGUCAUUUGAAUGAGUAUUGGAUUUUUGAGGGAUUUUCAAAGCGAGUGAUAUUCUUUGCAAAUUCAGAUCUUUGAGAAAUAAAACCGGUUUACAAAUUUUUGGAUUUCGUGACUUUUGUAGCAUUUUUAUGGGUGAAAAUUUAGAAACUUAUUCGUAUGCUUGUUGUGAAUCUGUAUAAGAGAUUUGAGGUCAAUCGAAUGGCCAGAUCGAUACACAUGAAGGUUUUUAUGGGCUAAGGUCUCAGGAUUUAGGGUUUUUAAGACUAGUAAGGUUUUCUUAGAUAUCUAGCAAUCUGCUAAUUGGAUUGGAGAGAUUUUUGGUUUUAUCAGUAGAAGACUUGAUUUCCUACAAGAAAGUGAAAUUUGGAAGCAAUCGAACAGUGGAAAAGGGAGAUAUCAGCGUUGGAAGUUGGCAUCAAGAUUGGAGAAGGAGAGACCAGCUGACAUCCAAGCGGAAUUUUGAGGUCAUCGACUAAUUGGUAAGUGCGAUUUUCUUCAAAAUUUUUAUGCUAGUUUUUUACUUAAACUCCAAGAAGUAUGCAAAUUUUUAGUUAGAAUCAACGGUUCAAUAUUUAGUUAUUUAAUUUUCAAAUCUAUGAAUAGGGUUUGGUUUGGGUUAGGAUUUGAUUAGGGUUUAGGGUUAGGGUUUGGUUAGGAUUUGGUUUAGGAUUUGCUAGGGUUAGGAUAUGGUUUAGGAUUUGAUUUAGGAUUUAGGAUUUAGGAUUUGGUUUAGGAUUUGGAUUAGGAUUCGAAUUAGGAUUUAGGGUUUAGUUCAAGAUUUGGUUAAGGAUUGGUUUAAGAUUUAAGGUUUGAUUAAAGUUUGAUUAGGAUUUGGUUUAGGAUUUAGGAUUUAGGAUUUGGUUUAGGAUUUGAUUUAGGUUUUAGGAUUUGGAUUAGGAUUUGAAUUAGGAUUUAAGGUUUGAUUUAGGAUUUGGUUAGGGAUUGGUUUAAGGUUUAGGAUUUGAUUAAGGUUUGAUUAGGAUUUGAUUUAGGAUUUAGGGUUUUUCUAGGAUUUGAUUAAGGUUGGAUUAGGAUUAGGAAUUGGUUAGAAUUUAAGGUUUUAUUAGAUUUUUGUUAGGGUUUGACUAAGUUUUCUUUAAUAUUCUUUUAUAUUUCUUUAGGAUUUCCUUGUGUUUCUUUUAUAACUUCAAUAAAAUUUAAUUGAGCUUGCUUAAUGUUUGAUUAUGAUUGUUAACGUUUAAUUAUAAAUUCUCUAUAAUCCUAUUGGAUUGUUAGGACCUUUUGUUGCAAUUUUCUUUUACCUUCUUGUAGAAUAAGUAGUUAUUUUCAGAAUGUAGAUAUCUAGUGUAUAGUGUAAACAGGAAUAGAUAACUAUUGAAAAGGUGGUUCAGCAUGUAGAAUGGAUGAAUAGUCAAGAAAAGUAGUUAUCAUCCAUAAUAUAGGAGUUAGUAUCUCGAGGAUGGGAGAGAAGAAGAAAAUGCCAGACUGUGAUAGUCAUGAGCCGGGAUAAGCUUGGUGCUAUCUCUUCUUCUUAAUUUUUUUGUUUCUUUUGUGUUAGUGUUGAUUCUAGUGAAGAGAAUCAAUUUAAUGAAUCAAUGUUUGAUUUACAAAGUUGUUUAUGGAUCACUAUUUAUCAAUUGUUGUGAAAGAUUGAUGAUGUAUGGAAGUUUCCAGUCACUGUUUAUCACAAGGUUGUAAGUCAGUGGAGAGGAAUUGUAAUCAAAGGAAUUGUCUCGAUCAGAUUCUAUGGAUUGGAAGUUGUUCGUUCUAGGGUUUGGGUUAUGCUUGUGUGUUUGUAAAUUACAUAAGGUAUUGAAAUUGAUGUCGUGGUUGUUAUCGUAUUGAUAUGAGAGAGUGGACAGUAGGAAGAAAAGUUAAGUGUUCUUCGGUAUUGUAAGCAUUCAAUAAUAGUGGUUAAUUGUGUGACCCUAAAAAUUGGAGCUCAUAUACAUGGUCUUUCCUUGUGUUUGAAUUCUCCUAUAUGGGUUUAUUCUGGGAGGUUUCUUCCGAAAUAAGUAAAACGACAAUCACAUUUUGGCGCCACUGUCGGAGAUUGAUAACAUUAUUGAGUGUUAGGAAUUAAUUGCUGAAGCAGUAAAGGAGAUUAGGAAGCAAACUCAAUAGAAAUAAUAAAAGAGUAUGGUUAUUAAGAAUGAGAAUUUAACAGCAAAGAGAAUAAAGCAUUUAAAGGAAAGAAUCUAGAGAUUGCAAGCAAGAAAUUUGUUGCGUAACGAGCAAGAUCACAAAUUGAAAAAGAAGCAUUGACAAAGUUAGAUUAAGCCGUGGUUGCAUGCCUGUCAGCAUAUUCGAUUGUACCCAGAAGACGAUCGACCUCUAAUAUUUUAGAAGUACAUACCGUUAAAAAAAUUAUCAAGAGCACUCACAAAGAGCGUUGCUAAUAGUCCAGCAUAUCUCUCAAGCCGUUAAAGGAAAGCGUGGAAGGUACAGAGGAAUUAGGUACCCCAUUGGAUAUUUUCUCAAUUCAAGAUACGUUCGAUUCUAACAAGACUGAUUCUGAAGGUUGGCAUAAAUCACUUGCCAAUAAAGACCAAUUCAGAGUAUAUCAAAACCCGUCAUUUUUACCUCAUAUUCAACCAAUAAAAUUAUUUGGAGAUAAUAAUAGUCAAUCGAGAAGGCAUGGAAGUCCAAAAAAGACUUUUGCGGGAGAUAGUUUUUAUUUUAGUAAAGAAUUGAGCAGAGCACUUGCAUCUUUAAUGGCAUCCGGUGGUCCAGCAGUUCCAAUCGCAAUAGAAAUGGGUGCGAUGGGAGAUCGCACAACUAGCGUGGCUCCAUUACCUACUUUUAGAGGUUUACCAGGAGCCGGUCUAGAUCAAUAUUUAUCACAAUUCUUGACUACAUGUAUAGCCAAUAAUAGCAGAACUGAAGAUAUUUGGUUAAGAUGGCUGCCAGCAACAUUAAAGGACACAGCAUUUGAGUGGUUUAACCGCCAACCUGUGGGACAAUUUAUCAAUUGGGAGGCAUUGAAAAAUACAUUUUUAGCCCAUUUUUGACCAAUUGGUUUUGAAGAAUGUCUUAGAAAAAAAUUAAUGAACAGCAAAAUGGUACCAUGGGAAGCGGUGUAGUCAUAUUAUGGUCGUGCAAUAGAUAUACUUCGAAAAUGGCCAAAUAACCAAAUGUUGGAAUCGUUUGUGUUGUCCAUAUUGAUUAAUAGACUACAUCCACCAGAAUUGAAGAUGUUUGUAAAGGAAGCCAAAUUAGCCACCAUUGCAUCAUCUCUUGAGCAAGUAAAAGUAUGAAAGGAAUGUCACCAAGACCAAAAAUUAACAAUUGGAGCCACGAUGAUUCGAUCUCAAGGAGGUUAUCAAAUGACAAAUUGAAAUGACGCAUCGGAAAGUUAUCUGGGAAGAAAUGAUUAUGGUACAAUUCCACAGGGAAUAGUGGAUGCGGUUCCAUUAUAGGUUGUACCACCAUCAUCAUCACACCUGUAUAUGCCUUAUUUUGUGUAUCAAAAACCAAUACCUAUGAAGGAAUUGCCAAAUGUAUUGGUAUCAAGGGAUCCCAAUGAGUCAUUGCUGUUAACAUUGACAAAAAAAAUGGAUGAAUUGGCUGUGAAUCUGGCCAAGGACAAGGAAAAGAGGCAUAAACCAACCAAUAUGCAUCCCUAUGUCUGGUGUAGCAAUUGUAAGGGGUAAGGUCAUUUAGUAACAGAAUGUCAUUCACCACCCCAAAUGAUUAUAUAAUGUACCUUUUGCGGGGGCAAGCAUAUUACCACCAACUGUUGGAAUUUACGGAAGCAACAACAACUCAGUAAUCAGAUAAUGAUUCAACUAACUUCGCGGCAUGUCAAUCAAGUCCAAACGAAUAAUAGAUUUGGCAGGAACGAAAAUCGAGCAAAUAAACAAAACAGGAAUUAUUCCAGUUUUUUAAACUCCAAAUUUCACCAAGAAGGUGUAUCUAAUACUCACAAAUUGGCGAUGAACCAACAAGAAUACCAUCAAUAUCCAUCCAUGACGAAGCCAAUGCCAGGGUCUACAAUACCAAUGGAUCAACCAGGAUCCUUUACUCAUCCGACAUGGAACAGACCUAGUCGUUAUAUAUCAAUAGAGACACCCAAUAUUCCUGAAGGAGUUAGCAGGAAACCACUUCAUUGCUAUCGUUGCAGACAUAUCAGACAUUAUGCGAGUGAAUGUCCUAAUCCAAAGGCCAGUGAUGACUAUGCUCCAAUAUGUGGAAAUUGUAAGCAAUCUAGUCACACUUAUCAACAGUGCAAUGUGUCCUUUAAUUAUAAUAAUCGAGACCAGCAAAUACAAACAAGCCAACUAGCGGAAGACAAAGGUCCUGUUCAACGAGACUCACCAGCACAUCAUGUUGAGGUGGUGAACGUAGUGCUUAUCAGAGGCCAACAAAAAGACAAGAAUCUAAUUCAGGACAUGAAUGAACGAAUCGUAGGAGAGCAAGUAGCCCCAUCCAUGGGACUAAACAAACCAAUAUCAGUAUUGGGACAUAUCCCAAUAUUGAGACCUCAACAGACUGAAGAACCUAAUUUGGUUUCACGUGCCAAUUUAUUGGGACUAUCAAGAUGGAUCCCAACUGACCAAGUACCAAUACCUGUAUAACCCAAUAAAAGAUCUUACUUAUUAAAGGAACCUUUAGUGAUAGAAAAGUUGGCAAAGUUACUAACGACAAUCUCAAUCGCUAGGAAGGAAUUGUUGCCGAAUGGAGUAAAAUCAAAACCAAUGAAAUACAAAAGAGCAUUGGAAAUUACUCUCAAUAUGGAACCCUACAACAUUCUAAAGGAUUUGGAUGUUAUUUUGCCUUCAAUUACAAUGAAGCAACUUUUGGCUGUAGUACUGGAAUGUCAAUCUACAUUGAAUUCAGCGUUAAUACGACGAAGAUCUUGCACUAAAGAAAUUCAUGAAAUUAGCUUAAACCCAGAUCCGAGAGCACCAACAAUCGAUGUAUUAAUCAAUGGCAUUUUAAUUCCAGGGGUACAAGUCGAUGGUGGUUCCAGUGUGAAUUUAAUGAAUGUAGAUACAAUAGAGGACUUGAAUCUAAAAGAAUUGCUACCUACAACAUUGGUCUUACGAAUGGCAGAUCAUAAUCGAGUAAAGCCAAUGGGAAUCUUACAUAAUAUUACCACUAUAAUCGUGGGAUUGACAUACAAAAUCGAUUAUAUUGUAUUCUGAUUACAAAGUUCUAUGUUAUCGUAUCCUAUUUUAUUGGGCAGACCUUGGCUUUAUCAAGCCAAAGCUAAAAACGAUUGGGGCCGAGGCACAUUGACAAUUGGAAAAGACCAUGACCAGAUUGUUUUACAGAUGUAUCCGAUACAAUAUCAUAGAAAAUCUCAAUUGCCAGAAACAAAAUUUACAUCACACAACGAGAGUCAAUUGAUUGAGGAAGAUGAUGAUGCUAUAGGUUCACUGCAAUUUGGAGUAGGACAAAACACUUCAACAGCAAAGGUAGGAGUCUAUCAAUGUGGAGGUCUCGACGAAUAUUUACUACAUUAGGAGGAUGCGACUAACUCGGAUCAUGCUAUUGCCAAAUGGAUGAAUAAUCUUGCAAUUAAUAGAGUCAGCACAUUAGAAUCAAAAUUGGAUAGUUCUCAUAUGUCGGAUAAUAUAAGAUAUUCAGAUCAGGAGAAGACAAUUAAAUCAGAGGUGGUAAAAGACCUUGUGUGUCAAUCCAUUAAUUUGGGCAUCAACGAAAUGCCACACCUAAUUAAAAUAUAUGUCGAUAUUAUAGGUAUAAAAUUGGAUGCUUGAAAACAAUUUUUUGUCCGUGACAAAUUUGCCUUUGCGUGGUCGUAUGCGGAUUUGAAAGGAAUUCUAGCCGACGUCUGUGAGUACCAGAUUAUUUUGGAGGAAGAUAUUAUGCCAGUUCAUCAAAGACAACACCGGCUUAACCCAAAAUAUUUCCUUUUAGUGAAAGAAGAAUUGGAUAAACUUCUCGACCUUGGUUUUAUUUAUCUUGUUUUGCAUAGUGCAUGGGUGUCGUCAAUCGUGAUGGUACUGAAGAAGAAUGAGAAAAUCAAGAUAUGUCACGAUUUUUGAAAGUUAAAUGCAGCUACUAAGAAGGACUAUUUUCCAUUACCAUUUAUAGAUAGUAUUUUGGACGCAAUCAUCGGACAUGAAUGUUACUUAUUUUUGGACGGAUUUUUGGAAUAUAAUCAAAUUAAAAUUAUCGAAGAGGACCAGUUGAAGACUACGUUUACCACAAAUUGGGGUACAUUCGCCUAUAAAGUAAUGUCAUUUGGGUUAUGUAAUGCCCUGGCUACUUUUCAACGCGUAAUGACACAAGCGUUUGAAGAUUACCUACGUUUAUCAAUGGAGAUAUUUCUGGACGAUUUCUGCACAUUUAGCACAACGAUUGAACAUCUAGCAUGUCUAGAUAACUGUUUGAAUCAAUGCGACAAGUAUGGAAUAUCUCUAAAUUCGGAGAAGUGUUAAUUUGGCGUACCAUCGAGGAAGCUAUUGGGACACAUUGUCUCUGUUGAAGGUAUCGCUAUGGACCUUGAUAAAGUUACCUGUAUAUUGCGUUUAUCAAAGCCAGAUACGGUAUCGGGCAUGCGUUGUUUCAUCGGCCAUGUCAGCUACUAUCGGUAUUUUAUUGAAUCCUUUGCGGUUAUCUGUCAACCAUUAACCAACUUAUUAAAGAAACCCUUGUCAGGCGGAUCUAGCCCAAUAUGGACUGAAGACUGUACCCACGCAUUUGACGAAUUGAAACGAAAAUUGAUAUCUGUCCCAAUUCUUGUAAUACCUUGUUGGACAAAAUCAUUUUAUAUCUAUGUGGACGCAUCCAAUGUUGCUAUUGGAUCCAUUCUCAGUCAAAAGGAUGAAAAAAGAUUAGAUCAUCCCAUAUAUUAUGCAAGCCGAUAAUUCGUUGCUGUAGAAUGAAAUUAUAAUACUAUCAAGCGAGAAGCCCUCAGAAUGAUCUACUCUGUACAAAAAUUCUGCCACUAUCUACUUGGAUACCCAUUUGUGUUCCAUGUUGAUUAUGAUGCGCUUAAGUACAUGAUAAAUAAACCUCAAUUGAGUGGACAAAUUGCUCGAUGGAUGUUACUUCUCCAGGAAUUCAACUUUAUGAUUAAUGUUUGACCCGACAAGAAAUAUGCCAAUACAAAUCACUUACCCCAUUUAUCUAAUAUAUUGGAUAAUGAGUAGAUAAAUGAUGCUCUUUUGGAUGCACAACUAUUCGCUGUGGAUGUCAUUACAUCCGAAUAUGGUGAAUUGAUGCAAUAUCUAAUGUUUCAGACUUUUUCAAUUUCAUAUAAUAAAAAAUUAAAGAAACGUCUGAUUUUAAAAAGUGUGUCAUAUACCAUGAUUGGAGAUGCCUUGUACAAACAAGGGUGGGAUGGAAUUUUAUGCCGUUGCAUCUUUCAAAGUGAAGUUCGUACAAUUUUGGAAGGAUGUCAUUUGGAAAAUUGUGGAGGACAUUUUGCGGGUGAUAGCAUCGCACGUAAGGCUUUAAUGGCUGGAUAUUGGUGGCCAACAAUGUUUUCAGAUGCACACCAAUAUGUUCGUUGUUGUGAUCCUUGCCAACGAAUUGGUCGCCCUACUGGAACUUCUGCAAUGCCAUUGGUACCAAUUUUGGCACAGGCACCAUUCGAAAAAUGGGGUAUUGACUUUGUAGGACCCAUUGCACUUGCCUCUCGAAAUGGACAUAAACAUUAUAUUCUAGUAGCCACCGAUUAUGUCACCAAAUAGGCGGAGGCCAUGGCAACGAAUAUUGAUAAUACCAAUAUUGUAGCAACAUUUUUAUAUGAGAAUAUUAUCACUCGUUUUGGCUGUCCGAAAGAAUUGGUUAGUGAUCGUGGCAUACAUUUUUUUAAUACAAAAAUUGAAGCAUUAACAGUGAAGUAUGAGAUCAAGUACCACAAAAUUAUACCUUAUCAUCCACGAGUCAAUGGGCAAACAGAAAAGACCAAUGGUAUCCUAUGUAAGAUCUUAACAAAGACUAUUUUAGGAGCGAAAACCGAUUGGGAUACUAAAUUGUUUGCAACUUUAUGGACGUACCAUACUGCAUAUAAAGUAACUACCAAUUCUAUCCUAUUUCAAUUGGUAUACGGUCAGGAGGCAAUUCUACCAAUUGAAUUAGAGGUCCAAAGUUUACGAAUUGCGUUGGAUGAACGUAUGGAAGACAGAGAAUCUCUUCAAUAUAGGUUAGUCCAAUUGUAGAAAUUGGAUGAAGCUAGGGCUACGGCUCUCUUGAUCAUCGAAGCUACAUAGCACCGCAAAAAGAGUUAUUACGAUAGUAAGUUAUGGCCAAAAUAUUUUAUGCCUAAUGAUCUGGUGCUACUUUAUGAUAGCCGCUUUAACAACUUUCCCUGUAAAUUUCAAGUACGAUGGCAUGGGCCAUAUCGGGUGGUGGAAGGUUUCUCUAAUGGUUCAGUUCAAUUGGAAGAUUUUCUGGGAACCCACUUCACAACACACGUUAAUGGGAAUCGGUUACAUCUGUAUUAUACGUAAACCUGGGACGGAUUUACUCAGUGGAAGGAGGGAGUCUCCGUAAUAAUGAUUACCUGACAAGAUUGAAAAGGUUAUGAUAGCUAAAAAACGAUUGAUGGUUAGUUUUGGGUACUAAAACUGACUAGUCAGGAAAUUAGACAUUCUUGAUUAGACGUGAGAUUAAGGUACAUUGGAUUAGAUGUUCUUGAUUUGGACCCCGAGUAAGCAAUUAGGAGCGAGGCACUCAUAGAAGGUUUCAUUGUUGUAAAUUUUAGACAUUGUACUUUGAACUGUAAGCUUUACGAUAGUAAUCAGCAAUAGUGUUAGCACGAGGAAGUAUUGAAAGUUUGAUUUUUACAAUGUCAAUGGAAAGAGCAAAGUGUGUAUUGGAAUGAUCGAAAAGUCACCUCAAUGUGAGGUCUAAGUGCGAUCUGGGAUCCCCGUCUCUUGUAGUUAUCACCAACAUGGAACCGAUGAAGUUGGACAUCUGUUGUUUAUUGAAAAGGAAAAAUGAUUUUAGAAAUGUAUAGUUAUUUACGUUUUUGCGAGGAUCCGAUAAACUACCACCAAUUGAUGUAAAACGAGUGGCAGAAUAUAUAGAAAAUUAUGAUCUACAUGAUGGUUUGAGUGUAGUAAGACGAGUCCUGAUUGGGAUAGAUGAGAAUAUCUUACACAAGGUCUUGCAUUUACCAACCGGAGAGCUUGAGGUGGGGGGAGACGCAUCAAAUGACUUCAAGCCAAGAAGCUACUUCAAAGGAGGAAUGUCGUCUAUCGAGCAAAAUCAAGGAUAGAAGGUAUAGGAGGCACUUAUGCCCGAACUUAUGGAAUAGAUGCGGUUUGUUCACAAGCGAUUAGCAUUGAAUCCGCAUAUCACCUACAUGGCAAAGCGAUUACUGUUUUCCGUGAUAGGAAUACUGGAAGGCAUGGUAUUCAAUUAAGCAGCUUAUGUGGCCACAAGGAUACAUGCAGAAAUGGGACCUAAGCGGAAGACGAGAAAGUUUGCUUCAUUAUUAUGUUCCAAUUAUGUAAACUCAGUGAUUGAGUAUACAUUAAAACAGGAAUCUCAACCAGUAGUUCCAAGUUUACAAACGGGAAAAAUUAGUGUAGGGGUAAUAGUGUAUGAAGUAGGAGAAUCCAGCAAAGCGACAGAACAAGAAGCAAGACCAAUAUCUACAGUAGAGCGAGUUUUCAUUUGGCCAACAAUAGUGAUGACGACACCAAUAUCAGUUCCAAGGAAAAGCAACCAAUUAGGAUUUCAAUGGGAUGUAAUGGAAGGGUAGAAUCUUAAGGAAGUUAUAUUGGGUCAAAUUUCCCAAUUGCAACUUAUAGUGAAUAAGCUCAAAGAUGAGGGUAGCUUAAAAAAGUAAGUGGAAGCGAGCAAGAAAAUAAUAUUGGAGCAAAAUUGCAAAAUCAAGGAACAGGAAUAAGUCAAGAAAGUAGAAUCGGAAUCCAAGAUGCGAGUGAAGCCUGAAUUGGAUGAGAGAGUGGAAAAUUGGUCAAAGGAGAAACAAAGGAUUCAGCAUAUCCUGGAAAAUCAAAAGCAAGAAUUACUAAAAACUUACAAAUUGUAUAGAUUGGAACAAGAGAAGAUGAACGCUCAGUUGAAGAUGGAAUGAGAGAAGGAGGCAUUGGAGCUUGAAAAGAAACAAUUGGGUGACCAAUAUCGAAACAAAACGGAUGAGCUACAAGCAGACAUCGUUGUUUUGAAGGAAACAGUAACAAAAUUGGAGAGUGAUUUGGUCAAUAUUGGUUAGUCACAGACAUCUGCCUCAACGAGAGUAAGAAUUAGAAAAUUGGAGGAGAAAUUGCAACAGCAACAACAACUGGAAGCUAAAGAUGCCAGAAUACUCCAAUUGGAAGCUCAAGUUCAAAAAUUGGGAGUAUACAAUGAAGAUUUAAUAGCUCAAUUAAGGACAGAGAUUUAGGACGAGUCGGAUGUAGAAGAAAAAGUGUUGAAACAAGACCAAAUAGAGCGAGCGCCAAGAAUUGAAGAAAUUGAACAAUCCAGUUAAAAAAAAAAAAAAAAAAAAAAAAAAAAAAAAAAAUGGUUUCUGUUUAUCAAUACUGUGUUUGCGGGGACACUGCACGGUUAGGAGUGGAGCUAUGUAGAAUAAGUAGUUAUUUUUAGAAUGUAGAUAUCUAGUGUAUAGUAUAAACAGGGAUAGAUAACUAUUGAAAAGGUGGUUUAGUAUGUAGAAUGGAUGAAUAGUCAAGAAAAGUAGUUAUCAUCCGUAGUAUAGGAGUUGGUAUCUCGGGGUAGUAUAAGGAGGAUGGGAGAGAGGAAGAAAAUGCCAGACUGUGAUAGUCAUGAGCCGGGAUAAGCUUGGUGCUAUCUCUUCUUCAUAAUUGUUUCUUUUGUGUUAGUGUUGAUUCUAGUGAAGAGAAUCAAUUUAAUGAAUCAAUAUUUGAUUUACGAAGUUGUUUAUGGAUCACUAUUUAUCAAUUGUUGUGAAAGAUUGAUGAUGUAUAGAAGUUUCCAGUCACUGUUUAUCGCAAGGUUGUGAAUCAAUGGAGAGGAAUUGUAAUCAAAGGAAUUGUCUCGAUCAGAUUCUGUGGAUUGGAAGUUGUUCGUUCUAGGGUUUGGGUUAUGCUUAUGUGUUCAUGAAUUACACAAGGUAUUGAAAUUGAUGUCGUGGUUGUUAUCGUAUUGAUAUGAAAGAGUGGACAGUAGGAAGAAAAGUUAAGUAUUCUUCAAUAUUGUAAGCAUUCAGCAAUAGCGGUUAAUUAUGUGACCCUAACAAUUGGAGCUCAUAUACAUGGUCUUUCCUUGUGUUUGAAUUCUCUUAUGUGGGUUUAUUCUGGGAGGUUUCUUUCGGAAUAAGUAAAACGACAAUCACACUUCCACAACCAGGUGCUCGGUGCAUUCUCAAGCAAGACUUCACGUAAUACGAUAUUGUAAUAAUAUGGUGUGAUUUUAAAAAAAUAGAUAAUAUUGAUUACAUGUUUUGGGCAUUGAUAAUGAUUCUACCGCUAAAGCCACUACUAUCAUAUAAUUCAACAAAACUAUCGUUGUCCUCAAUGACAUCAUUUAGAUUCAAUUCUACAAUGGUGAUUGCAAUGCGACCUCUUCCUGAGCCAAUAAGGUCCAAGUUCUUUUCUUUUAUGGUGCCAUCUCAACUACCAUGGCUCUAUUGGAUAAUAAAUGUUUUCAACAAGUAUAUUUUCUUGCAUCCAAGUAAAAAUCAAGGUAAGUUUUUCAAUAGUUGAAAAGUAUAGAAAGGAUCAUACCAAAUUUUAUACUGCAUAUAAUUUAGAUCCUAAUUGUAUUUGAAAAAUGUGUAGUCAUGAUAAUUUAUUAUAUUCAAGCAUAGGUUUUAUAUUAUUAUAAAAAUAAGAUAUAUUUACUAUUAUUAAAAAUAUAUGGAUAUUUUUUAUAUUUCAACAUAUUUGAGAGAUAUAAUUGAGGGAUAUAUAUGAUAUUAAUCCAAUAAAAACUUAACUUGUAUUUAAUUUCUUUAAAAUCAUUUUUUUGAUUUCAAUGGCAACUCUACUUUAAUUUGAAUUUAAUCAAGUCUAGUGGAAGAGAAAGUUUUGAUCCUAUUGGCAUAGAGGUCAAGUAUCCAAGUCUUUCUCCUAAUAUUAAGGUUUUAAGGGUCAAGCCAAAUAUUAAUUUUGCAUUCCCAAAAUGAUAGUCUUUCAGCUUUGGCACGACAUUUGGAAGGCAUACUAGUAACAUCUAGCAAGCAACUAUCAUUGACAAGGGCUAAAUCCUAGACAAACAUGGAAACACUAGGACAAACGUAAUGGAAGGACGUAGAGAAGGAAUUCCUCCUUGAAGUUAUGGAAUUGCAUUUGUGAACAAUCUUAAGAUGAAAAGUGACAAGAAGCUUAGAGUUGUAGUCAGUAAGUUUGAAGAAUUAUAGUCUGUAAGUUUGUAGUUUGUUUUUUAUAGCCAAUAUGUUAAUAAGAUUAUAAAUAAUAUGAAAAUAAAUGUAUAUAUGAAGAUUGAUUUUGUUUUGAAAUCAAUUCAUGGGAAUUCUACUUGUAGGAAUUAACUUAAUUAUUUAUUUUCAAGAUGUUUUACAUGUGGUGGCAUGCUUGAUUUUAUUUUUGGUAUAUAUCAAUUUUUAUAUGUGUUAUUUACAUUAUGAAUAUAUAUUAUGUUUUCAUUUGUUUAGAUUCUUUGCAUAUUAUUAAUUUAGCCUAUACCCUUGAUUGAUUGCAUUAUUUUUCUACUUAUUUACUUCGUUUUUUGAUAUUCGAGUAAUAGAUGGUAAAUGGCAAUAUAAGCACCGGAGAAUUCAAAAUUAGCAAAGCUUUUAUCUUGCUUGGUCAUGUCCCUUCAAGCUCAAGGUAUGCAUUACUGGAAACAGAAAGCACUGUGUUCAACAUACAUGCCUCAAUUACCGACAUAUGUGAUGAAAAAAUAGUCACACUGUCAUGUGAGAUCAACAAUAACAUAGAAUUGUAGAAUUUCCAAGGUUGAAGCAAUCAAUAUAAUAGUAUAAAAUAGGCCUCUUCUACUGUACAAGGUCGCAGUUGAAUCGUAACUAGUCAAGCCGGGGUUUCGUGUCAAGCCAGGGUUUCGUGUCAAGCCAGGGUUUCGUGUCAAGCCAGGGUUUCGUGGAAAACGCUUUGCCGCCCUUUCGUGUAAGGAAGAAAUCUAGUUUGAAUGUUGAGAAAGUGCCGGAGCCCACUAGAGUCGUUUUGACCCAAAUUCACGAGGUUGCAAACGCGUCGGAGGGAAUCACAGCUAGGGUAUAAGCGCAGUUUUGAUUCUUGGUGUGUGUCUUUGAAGCAUUGUGACAAAGCAACCACUGCCUUUAACAGCUCCACGUUUUUGUAUGAUGUGCAUUCGCUGUAGUUGCUCUGCUUUGUCUUCCUCGAAGGAGUUUCACAACCACACCCACCCUGAGAACUGCACCGGAAAUUAAAGCCUUCCGAAUCCUUCGUUGCGUGCUCAGGCCACCACCUUCCAAGCUGUGUGGCUAUCACUUCUGAAAUCCGGGUGGUGAAUCUUCACGAGUGGAGUUCUCUCAAGAUUCCCUAGUUGAGCAGCACCGUGGUUUCUUGCAGGACGGGAAGACUUCACAUCUUUUGGUCAGCUGCAGGACGAAGAAUCAAAUUGGGACUGUGGGCAGUUCAUGUCUGAGGAACAGCUUGCGUACGGCUGACAAUUCUUACUAGAUUGAUCCCUGGGUUGACCACCGCCAGAUAAUUCUUGUGCUUUUUCGCCUUAGACGAAACAUUCGCCUUUUGGCAACUUUGGACGUCGAGGCAGCUUGGAGGAAUUGCACAGGAUGACUGCCACAGGAAUGUACCAAGUUGUGUUGAACUCGAAGGUUAAGAUGCAACAUCGGGGUCCGAGGUUGCACAACUUGAUCAUUGCGAUGGCUCUAUCAUUCUGCGUUCUAGCUUUUCGCCUGUUCGCUAUCUCCCGGCAGGAUCACCAGCACGAGGUCCGGCCCGUGUUUCUCGACAACCCACUGCCGCUCAAGAAUGAAGUUCCCCGCAACACGUCCGAUCUCAUUGCGAAAUUAGCCGCCGUCACCAGAAUUGCUGCAAAUGGAAGCAACAUGACGAAGGUUUUUUCUUCCGAAAAGCAACUGUUGUGGAAUAAGGAGCACCCUUGCUCUAGCAGGCGGGAAAUUCACUCUCUCUACUCAACUAGGAAAAGCACACACGACAUACAAAUUAAUUCGAAUUGGGUCUCCAUUCUGCAAGAGUAUGCAAAGCUCCACAGGACGUGUGUGCUGCAAAUGGGCAACGUGACAGAUUUUUUCCUCAAGAGGAAGCAUAUAGAGGGUUGCAAGUUUGUAGUGGCUGGGGUGUCUAGGGGCAGCGGUAUCGGCAACAAGGCUCUGUCAAUCGUGUCGGCGACAGUGUAUGCCGUCCUAACGCAACGAAUCCUUCUCGUCCCGCAAGCCGCUGCUGCACCCGGAGUGUUUUGUGAGCCAUUUGAGGGCUCCUCGUGGACGGUGGAUCCUGAUCAUAUCUGGACGAAGAGCAAGAAGAGAACUGAUCUUUGGGACACCUUGGCAUAUUUCCACAAAAGGGUGGAUGCUAGAGCUCUUAGCGAAGCCAUGGUAAAGCCCGUCUACGCCGUUUCCACGACCGAGAAUUGGGACGCGCAACCGGAGCCACGAUUUUUCUGCGACACCGAACAAGCACAAUAUACCCAAGUCCAAUGGAUCAAUUUUCGAAACAACUUCUACUUCGUGCCGAAGCUCUUCGCAGUCCCGAGCUUCCGCCCCCUUCUCGAGGAUAUUUUCCCCCACCGGAAGGUACUCACUCAGUUGUUGCGGACCGUGAUGCUACCAUGUGAUCCUGUGUGGGAGCGUGUCAAGCAAGUGCACGACUCACAUUUCCGACAUUCAGAUCGCCUAGUCGGCAUACAAGAACGAUACUUUCAGGGAAAAUCAGAAUUCGAUCUACUGCACACGACUAUGGAGGAGAACGUCGUGAGCUGUCUACUGGCCGAGGGGCUUCUUCCAACCCCGAACUCCGAAUCUCAACCCCGAACAACGACAGUGCCACAGGAAAUGGACGAACCAAUCGUUCCUUCAAACUCUCCCGAGGUCCUAAAUUCUCUCAAUGUCACUACCAUCUUCAUCACUUCUCUUUACCAAAGCUUAGCCGACAGAUUGUCGCGGGACUACGUGCUAACCACGACAGAAUCCGACGAUCCGGUAGGGGUGGUCCAGCUGACCCACGAGGAAACCCAGAACUUCGGGGUCGAGGUUGACAAGCAUGCCUUGGUGGAAAUCCUCUGUCUGAGUCUCACAGACAACUUGGUUCUGACUCCACAGUCCACGUUCGGCGCCCUCGCGCAAGGGUAUGGUGGCUUAGUACCAUGGUUCAUCGACCUGCGACCUGAAACACAAACGCCGUGCGUGCCUGCGACCUGAAACACAAACUUGUUUCCAACUUCCGGCCACGAAAUUGUACACCUGCCCACAUGAUGUGGAUGUCAAUGGGCAGUUCAUGACGGACGUGGUGUCGUACUUGACGGAUUGCAACUCGGUGGAGAAGCCGUUCCUGCACAUGAACGGGAUCCAGCUAGCAACAGAUUGAGAGAAUAGCCCUGUAAGUCGCAGGCAUGGUUUACCCUGUUGUGAUACACAGUCACUGCACAUUGAAUUGUCAUCAAGUCUCAAUUUAUUCGACGCCAAAAUAUCCCAGAAGACCAUCACGAUAACGAAGAGCAGAUUACAGCUCAUUUGAGCUGUUCUCAAGCUCCAUGAGGUGGAAAACCAGGGCUGUUAUCUUCACUGCAGCAUACAGCCACGAGUGAUCGGUAGGGGCUGGACAAAACAAGUCGAACAGUAUAGUAUCUCUGACUACAGAUCCAACGAUGGUCGUCAGACCUUUUUGUUUGUCAGACGAUGCUCCGAUGAGAUAUAAUUCCGGAACUGAGUGGUUUUGGAAGGGCAUCUCUAUUAGUGCGCUAAAGGGCCACACUGGAAUGUCCUGAGCUUGCAGUACACCACCAUUGCUCGCCCACUCACGUUGGCAACACUCAAUGGAUUCAAAAUCGUGGCACCAAUGGUAUAGAAAACACGGCGCCCCAUUUGAAGAGCUUCUACAGAUUUUGGCAUGAGUAUUGAUAAUUGACAAGGUUGAGUCAAUUGGCAGUAGGAUAUUUUAAUGUGGGAGUAGAGUGCAUGAGUGAGGUACUUAAAGGGUAUUUAUAUGAAGAAGUCUACCUUUAAAACACCACAGUAUCUAAGCCUUACAAAGGUCUUCCACUUGAUGAAGAAAACAAAUUUAGAGCUUUUGGCUUUUGAAGAUUGUACAAAGUGAAGCACCUGUAAAAUAGACAUGAUCAUUGUAUUGUAAUAAAUCUAAAAUGCCACUUUUUUUUCUUGAUUUUAAAAAGUAUGACACAUAUUCAAAUUCAAAUAUAUAAUGUUUAAUUUUAACAGCAUUUUCUACACCUUUGUAAAUUUCUAUGAAAAAUACAAUUUGAGAUGAAUCUACUAUACAUUUUUUUUAAAAUAUCAUUUAUGUUAAGUAGAAAAAAAAAUAGUACAUUCUAUUUUAUCUUUUUUUAUUUAGAUAUUUGGAUUUAAUAUUUCUAAAUUUAAAGCCAACUAAAUAACAUUUCUUAAUUCCAAUCAAUCAAAGGAUUUAAAAGAUGUAACCUCAUACCUUUUCUUGUAAUUAUAUAACAUCCAAAGUGUUAAAAACACUAUAUUUAAUAGAAAGUGACAUAUUUUCUAAUUAUUAUAUAUAUAUUUGAAAUUCUAAUUCUAAUAGAUUAUGCAAAGUUUUUUGAAAUCUAAAGUACUUAAAAUAAUUGCAAUAUCCAUGAUUAUAUAUAUAUAUAUAUAUAUAUAUAUAUAUAUAAUCCAAAAAUAUAAUUUCAUUUAAUUUAUAAAAUCUUACUAUGUAUUAAUAAAUAUAUCAUUUGAAAAAAUACUUUAAGUCCAAAAAUAUUAAAAUGUUAAAUCUAACAAUCUAUUCUUUACCUAGGUUUUGUCAUAUAAUAGCAUUAUUUUUUAUUCAUAAAUUUUAUCAAAUUGAAUACGAAAUUUUAUCUUAUUUAUAUAUAUUUUUACUUAAAUAUAUUUUUAAUUUUUGACACAUCAAUACAUAACACUAGAUUAUAUACUAUUAAAUAAAUCUUACAAUUUAAAAAAAAAUAGUCUUCUAAUAAUAUAAUUUUUUUAUAAUAUUAUUAUUAAAUUAAAAAAAAAUCUUUUAGAAAAAGAUGUUAAAAUUAUUUCAAAAAUUAUAAGAAAUAGUCAAAGAAUCAAUAAAUAUUAAAAAAUUAGGAAUGCAUAUAAAUCAAUAAUUAUCUAUUUUUUCUUAAUCUUUAUUUUAUCUAUCUUGAUAGUUACUUUGAUGCAAAUUCCUCCACUUGGCACCUUUUUGCAUCCAUCAUGUAUUAAAAAGUCUUUUUAUUACAACUUAUUAUAUUAUUAUAUUUUUAUUAUAAAAUUAUUAAACGAAUAUAUUACUUUUUAUAAAUACAUUAAUAUUUUUUAUUUAUUCUUGUAUUAUUUUCUCCAAAAUUUUUUAAAUAUCAAAAAAAAUAUAUGUAUUCAUAAUAUAAUAAGAUUAUUUUUUAAUUUUUAUUUGUUUAUUUAUUAUUACUUAAUGUACCUAAAUUUAUGCCCACAAUCCUUUAGUAUUUUUUCUUGGUGACUUUUAUUGAGUUAAAUAAGUUUUUAUACGAUUUUAUCAUUUAAAAACUUUGUAUUGUAUUAGUAAGUUACCCUAGUCAAUUAAGGCAACUAUCUUUUUUGGAAAUUAAAUUAAUAAUUUAUACUGUUUUCUUUUAUAUUAUAUCUAAAAUUAAAGCCAAAAAAAAAAAAAAAAAAAAAAAAAAACCCAUGUUUUUGGAUCUUAUCGUGUCAUAACUUUCCCCCAAAAUAUGUCCAAUGUUGCUUUCCACUUACAAGAGAAAAAAAAAACUAAACAAAACAAAAAAAACCAAAAAAAAAAAAAAAAAAAACAAAAACAAAACAAAACAAAACAAACAAACAAACAAACAAACAAACUAUUGGACAAUUUUAUUAUGUAAUCCAAGUAAAAAAAAAUAUUUGAAUGAAUUCCAAAUAGUUAAUUUAAACUUCACGUCACUUUAAUAACAUGAGAUUCUUCUUAUAUUUGAAAAGUAAAAAAUCUUAAGUACAAAAAAGAAUUAAAAAUAAAUAAAAACAUUUCAUUAUGUCUAUUAUCUACCCCCUAAAUCACCCUUUGUCCACCUAACCUUAGUGUAGAGGACGGAAAUUAUUUUAUACCGUAGAUCGUAUAGUAGGAAAUACACAGUGGAGAGAGGAUGAAUCCUGAUCCCAAUACAAUUAGCGAUCGCUACCGUCGCAUGGCGUUGAGGGCGAGAGGGGAAGACCGACCCAGCGAGGGAGGGAGCCAAGAAACUAUCGACGUCAGUGGCGGACGAAAUUUCAGGGAAUCGCCAGCGAGAGCAGGAGAGUAUCACUCUACCACGACGCGUUUCAGCUACCGCUUCGACUCACUUGUCCCUACCCGUAAGGGUCUUCACGCGCUCUCUGCUCUGUUCCGGAAUCGGCAACUCUGUUUAACGUGGCCGCAUUCCUCGUUUACUCGUUUGUUGGCUUGAUUAGAAGACCCUUUAAGAGUUGAGCACUACAAGUAGACAUUUUUCGUUGUAGACUGGCGAAGGGAACGUCCUUUCUCUGCAGAUCGGUAUUGAGUCGGUUUCGUUCGGACAUCGGGGUGGUGCUUUGUGAUUCAUCGUCUUUGCUCUUGGAAGAGGUUAGUGAUUGCCCGGUGUAUUGGAGUGUGGGUGUUAGGGGUUGUACCAACGUGUAUCGCAGGUGGGUUUGAAUGAAUUUACUGUGAGUUGUUCUAGUCAGUUUUGUUUAUCUAUUGGAUUUCUGGUUUGAAGUGAGGGUUGUGUGAUGAGGUAAUUUGUGGCUUGAUCAGUGUACCUUUGUUGUGUUGGGUGAUUGUGGAAUGAUCCUUGAGUGAUGUCACGUAGAAAUAACCUGUUGCUGUGUCUUGUGUUGGAGGGUGAUCGUUUUCGCUACGGUCUAGAUAGAUUUCCAUAGUUAGCCCUAGCAAUUUCGUAAGAAUCUGAUUCGUUUACUUACAAAAAGUUUGCCAAAGAGAGUAAGCUUGGUCGUGUUUAAAUUUGAACGAGUUUUGGAAAUUCGGCUUAAUUUUUAGGGUAUUGUAUCACCCUAUCCCAUUGCGGGUUGCAAUUAACUCUCAAAUGUUCGUUGUGUCGGCGAUGAAUAGGGACGCAAGUGCUAUUUCUUUCCCGAACUGUUUCGAGUUUUGGUUCGUAUCACAUUUCAAGCGAGUUCCUCUUCUUCGUCUUAAUACCUCUAAUUUUAUUGAGCUUGUUCUAAGAGGAUAAUGGACGUUUUUAUAGUGUAGAUGAUUUGUUAGUGUAAAUAGUUGGAUGCACAUAUAUUCUUUUCGACUAAAAUCACAGUUAAUCGAUCUGCCGUGCUCAUCAGCUUUGUUCUUAUUAGUUUACACUUAGUUGCGUUUGUGCGUUGCCAUUCAUUACUUGAAUGGGUUUUCAUCUUCUUCUUCUUUUGACGGCUACCCGUUUGAUUAGUUCAUUACUUGCAUUGCUCUUCUUUAUAACAAUAUAUCUUGUUCAUUGUAUUAUCCUCAUUAAUGGAUGUAUUUCUGAUUCAGUGACGAUCAUUGUGCUUAAUUCUAUUUCAUCGUAACUCCACAGAUUUGUAUCAUACAUAGGCUGAGUGGCUAGACGUUUUAACAUCAUGCAUUCUUGCAGAUCAUGGGAGGGGAGGAAACAUACCCGUAUCCCAGUGCCCCGGCAGGACCAUAUGAGGAUUCGUCCAGAGGUGGUCCUUACAGUGACCGGCCUACAGCACCUUAUGGACCCUACGAACACCCACAUAGUACUGCAAAUGCUCCAGCUCACUCCUUCCCUCACCCUUCAAGUGAUCCAUAUGGAAAAAUUCAGUCUUUAAGCAGGCCAUCACAGUCUUCUGACUCUUACAGUGCAUCUGCUCCUCCUCACUCUGCGUAUCCUCAGCAAGGUCCCUACCCCCAAGGACCUCAUGGAUCAUUCCAUGGAGCAUCGUAUCCUCCACAUGGUGCACACAAUGUGAACGCUGUAACAGAUGGAGUAGCAGGGCUUGGAAUUCAUGGAGCUGCUCCAGCGGGCUAUCCUCCAGCAGGGUACCCCCCUGCAGGGUAUCCUCCUGCGGGAUAUCCUCCACAGGGCUCAGGGCAUGGUGCGCCGCCACAAACCUAUUAUCCUUCAUCAGCAGGAGUUUACCCCCCUGCUGGUCAUAUAGCCCAUGGAAGCCACUCUGAAGGGCACCCCGAGAAGGAGAAGGAUAAGAAGGAUAAGAAGGACAAAGACAAGAAGGACAAGGAUAAGAAGGAUAAGAAAGACAAAGACAAAGAGGGCAAAGAGAAGAAGGACAAAGACAAAGAGGGCAAAGAGAAGAAGGAUAAAGACAAAGAGGGCAAGGAAAAAAAAGACAAAGACAAAGAAGGCAAGGAUAAGAAGAAGGACAAGGAGGGGAAAGAGAAGAAGGACAAGGAGGGGAAAGAGAAGAAGGACAAGGAGGGGAAAGAGAAGAAGGACAAAGACAAAGAAGGCAAAGAGAAGAAGGAUAAGAAGGACAAAGAUAAGGAUGGGAAGAAGGACAAAGACAAAGAUCACAAGAAGGAUAAGAACAAGGAAGGCGGCAUUUCUGGAAUCUUGUCAAAUUUCAUGUAAUCUUAGCUACCAGCGACCUGAAAGUAUCGAGGCAAGCCAGAAAGCUAGGAGGUUUGUGUUGAAUAUUGUCCCUGCUUGGUUUGUUCUUGUUAUCUGUGUGAAUAAAGCUUAUGUCUCUUCAUCUAGAAUAUAAGAGUUAUUUCCUUUACGCUUUUGUACAAAUCCGUGCAGCACUUUCUAGACCUGUUUCUAGAAUGUGGUCUUUCAAAAGCAUGGUGUAGUGAGUGAAGCUUGUACAAAUCAACAAUGAUCUGCUUACGGCAUCCAAGAAACAGGUCUCUUUAUAGAUCAAAUGAAUUUGUGCACUCGAUUGAUUAUGUUGUAUGCAUCUCAGAAGACGCCACAAAUUCAGAUGUAAUAGCUGAUGCAAAUCAAGCAUGUGAACCUUGGACCUGAUAUUCUGGACUCUUGGACCUUACAAAAUGUUUUGAGUAUAGGAUGCAUUGAUUAUUAUGUGUAUUGACCACUUGGUGGAAUAAGUGUUGUCGUCAUGAUGUCGGCCAAAAGUACUGGAGCAUCGUAGACCAAAUUUGUGAAGAAAAUUAUGUUGUGUGCGAAAAGAAGCGUUUCACAUGUUUCUAGCACUACAAAUCUCUUCUUCAAAUGAAUUAGACAAGGAAAAGGCUAUGUA
rnacentral:lncRNA from 1 species